GGAUCCCUAGCUCUAAUAGAGCUCGGUUGGAUUUGAAAUAGUUUUGAAUCCGAUUUAGUUAUCUAUGUUGUUGCUAGACCUCGGAGUUUGAGUUGGAAUAUCCAGUGUUGGUUUGAGUAUUCAAUAUUGGUCUGGUGCUACUUUUGCUAAUCAAAUCAUAAAAAUUGAGGAGCUUGCUGGUAUUGUUGCUGCUUUUAUUAGUGGAGACC
rnacentral:lncRNA from 1 species